rnacentral:tRNA from 1 species
GCUCCGGUAGUAUAGUCCGGUUAAUGAUAGCCGAGAGUAUGACGGCCUCUCGAGCCGCCGACGCGGGUUCAAAUCCCGCCCGGAGCACCA